GAAACGACUGCUAAGACUGGAUAGGAAAUAAAAAGGCAUCUUUUUAUUUUUAAAAGACCUUUUUCGGAAGGUAUGCUUAAAGAGGGGCUUGCGUCACAUUAGUUAGUUGGCAGGGUAAAGGCCUACCAAGACUAUGAUGUGUAGCUGGACUGAGAGGUUGAACAGCCACAUUGGGACUGAGACACGGCCCAAACUCCUACGGGAGGCAGCAGUAGGGAAUUUUCGGCAAUGGAGGAAACUCUGACCGAGCAACGCCGCGUGAACGAUGAAGUAUUUCGGUAUGUAAAGUUCUUUUAUUGAAGAAGAAAAAAUAGUGGAAAAACUAUCUUGACGAUAUUCAAUGAAUAAGCCCCGGCAAACUAUGUGCCAGCAGCCGCGGUAAUACAUAGGGGGCGAGCGUUAUCCGGAAUUAUUGGGCGUAAAGGGUGCGUAGGCGGUUUAAUAAGUCUAUAGUUUAAUUUCAGUGCUUAACACUGUCCUGCUAUAGAAACUAUUAGACUAGAGUGAGAUAGAGGCAAGUGGAAUUCCAUGUGUAGCGGUAAAAUGCGUAAAUAUAUGGAGGAACACCAGAGGCGUAGGCGGCUUGCUGGGUCUUUACUGACGCUGAGGCACGAAAGCGUGGGGAGCAAACAGGAUUAGAUACCCUGGUAGUCCACGCCGUAAACGAUGAGUACUAAGUGUCGGGAUUACUCGGUACUGAAGUUAACACAUUAAGUACUCCGCCUGAGUAGUACGUACGCAAGUAUGAAACUUAAAGGAAUUGACGGGACUCCGCACAAGCGGUGGAUCAUGUUGUUUAAUUCGAAGAUACACGAAAAACCUUACCAGGUCUUGACAUACUCUGCAAAGCUAUAGCAAUAUAGUGGAGGUUAUCAGAGAUACAGGUGGUGCAUGGUUGUCGUCAGCUCGUGUCGUGAGAUGUUAGGUUAAGUCCUAAAACGAGCGCAACCCUUGUCAUUAGUUGCCAGCAUGUCAUGAUGGGCACUUUAAUGAGACUGCCAAUGAAAAAUUGGAGGAAGGUGAGGAUCACGUCAAAUUAUCAUGCCCCUUAUGAUCUGGGCUACAAACGUGAUACAAUGGCUGUUACAAAGAGUAGCUGAAACGCAAGUUUAUAGCCAAUCUCAUAAAAGCAGUCUCAGUUCGGAUUGAAGUCUGCAACUCGACUUCAUGAAGUUGGAAUCGCUAGUAAUCGCGAAUCAGCAUGUCGCGGUGAAUACGUUCACGGGGUUUGUACACACCGCCCGUCA
rnacentral:rRNA from 2 species